GAGGGGUGAGAAAAAGUCGUAUAAAAGGCGAGAGAAAAGUCGAUAGGGAAUAGUCGUGUGAGCAUCUCCGACACGGCAACAACUUCAGUGCACUUUUGCAAUCAGCUCUCAGCUAUCUGCCAUCAUCAGUUUUUAAUCAUGGUUGUAUACAAGGAGAAAGAAAAGGCGAAAGAAAUCAGUCGAGUGAGCAUCUCCGAUAUGCAAUGAGUUGCGGUGCACAGCAGCAACUGCAGUGCACUAUUUUACACCAACUGCAUUCUUCGUCGAGGUGCUAGUUUUAAAUCAUGGUAAACUUUGGCGUCGCGUGCUGCUGUUGGGUGUUGUAUAGUUGACGGCUGGUUCAGCCAUGGUGUACCAAUGUCUCCUGGGUAUGGUGGACAACAAAUCGCAACGCCGCCACCUUACUACACAACAUACGACACGACCAGUUGCUUCACCAAGGCCCCCAAGUACUACACCACCAAGGCUUAACAUUAUUGUACCAAAACUUAUGCUGCCUGAGCUACUACACCGAAGCCCCGAAGCAUUAUUCUUCCCCGAGGUACACAACCAGAGGUUCGAGUACUACAGCGAUGCACCGGAGUACUGCACCACCAAGGCACCGGAGUACUGCACCACCACAUAUUUCAUGGUUCUUAGAAAAGAUGAAACAAAUCAGUCAUCUCCGACACGACAACAUCAAUUGCAGUGCCAAGGCUUAGUAUUACACCACAAUUUAUGUUGCCCCGAGACUCUACACCAAAGCGCCUAAGUGCUAUAUCGAGGUCACUAAUUACUACACCACCAAGGCACCGGAUUACUACACUAAACAUACGCUGCUCCAGCUUAUUACACCGAGGCUCCCCAACACUACACCGGAGUACUACUACAUAUCAUGGUCGUAUGAAAGGAGAGUAAAGGUGGAAGAAUUCAGCAACCGAGUGAGCAUUUCCGUUACAGCAACAGGAACUGCCGUGCACUAGUUGUCAUCAUCUUCAUUCUUCGUCGCGUUACAAGUGUUUAAUAAAGUCUAGUUAACUAUGGUGGCGUGCUGCUGUUGGGUGUUGUAUCGUUGAUGGCUGGGUCGACCACUGGUGUGUUGAUUUCUCCUGGGCAUGGCGGGCAUGAACAACAACAUACGCAACAACCGGUCACUACACUGAGGCCCCCAAGUUCUACACCACCAAGGCUCCAGAGUAUUACACCACAGUUUAUGUUGGUCCGAGCUAUUCGCAGAAGCUCCGAAGUAUUUUUCUUUCUUUUUUUCGCACCACCAGAGUACUACACCACGCAGGCACCACCAGAGUACUACACCACGCAGGCACCACCAGAGUACUACACCACGCAGGCACCACCAGAGUACUACACCACGCAGGCACCACCAGAGUACUACACCACGCAGGCACCACCAGAGUACUACACCACGCAGGCACCACCAGAGUACUACACCACGCAGGCACCACCAGAGUACUACACCACGCAGGCACCACCAGAGUACUACACCACGCAGGCACCACUAGAGUACUACACCACGCAGGCACCAUCAGAGUACUACACCACGCAGGCACUGGCAUGGUAAACCGAAGCUCCAGAUUACUACACUGCAACCUACGCUGCUCUAAAGUACUCUGAUGCUCCAAAGUACUACACCACCAAGGAAUCCGAGCAUACAACAAUAUUACGCUUCUACCACCUGCUACAUCGAAGCUCCGAAAUCAGUACUCUGCCUCGAGUUACCACACCACUAAGGCAGCCGAUAAUAUUACACUACGAUCCUGCAAUUUUCUACUAGGAAUUAUCUAAAUACUAAAGCCGAAAUUUCUACUUGAGGUUAUUUAUAUUUGUCGGUUAUUUACAUGGUCGAUGUGAAUGGCCACUGGGAACUAAUUGUUGAUCUUUAAUGACAAAAUAAAAUUCUUUAUGCGGAUAAA